rnacentral:rRNA from 1 species
UACGUAGGGUGCAAGCGUUAAUCGGAAUUACUGGGCGUAAAGCGUGCGCAGGCGGUUUUGUAAGUCUGACGUGAAAUCCCCGGGCUCAACCUGGGAAUUGCGUUGGAGACUGCAAGGCUGGAGUCUGGCAGAGGGGGGGUAGAAUUCCACGUGUAGCAGUGAAAUGCGUAGAGAUGUGGAGGAACACCGAUGGCGAAGGCAGCCCCCCUGGGUCAAGACUGACGCUCAUGCACGAAAGCGUGGGGAGCAAACAGG